AGGAGGAGACCCCUCCUUGUUCAACUAAAAAGCCAUCUGCACAACCAUGCUGUGCACGGUUUUGUAUUCAGCUGUGCACUGUACUCCAUAGGCUCAAGAUACCGGAAAUGGCUAUUACAAACAGACACAGAUUGAUAUCUCUGGAAGGAAUGAUCAUGGACUACAAACACAUGUAGUGCUGUUCACUACAUGCUGAUUAUCUGACUGACAAUCAAAAGAUUGCCUUUGGCAUGUUAAAUCUCCUAGCAGGCACACGCCUCCAGUGGCCAGCAUUGCAGAACCAGCAUGGAUGUUGACUGUUCCUGUUCCAUGCUCAUCUCUGGACAGGGACGCAAACAGCUCUCCAGUGACUGGAUGACGAAUACCCCGACCAGCCAGACUCAGACUGUAUGUCAUCAACCUGGCAUUGAAGUCAUACAAAUAAUAAAACAAGUGUUCUGAAGCACCUGU